UACGGAGGGGGCUAGCGUUGUCCGAAGUUACUGGGCGUAAAGCGCGCGUAGGCGGGUUGGUAAGUCCGCUGUGAAAGCCCGGAGCUCAACUCCGGAGGGUCGGUGGAUACUGUCGAACUAGAGUACGGAAGAGGCGAGUGGAAUUCCCGGUGUAGCGGUGAAAUGCGCAGAUAUCGGGAGGAACACCAAUUGCGAAGGCAGCUCGCUGGGACGUCACUGACGCUGAGACGCGAAAGCGUGGGGAGCAAACAGG
rnacentral:rRNA from 1 species